CCUACGGGGGGCUGCAGUGAGGAAUAUUGGUCAAUGGACGAGAGUCUGAACCAACCAAGUAGCGUGAAGGAUGACUGCCCUAUGGGUUGUAAACUUCUUUUAUAUGGGAAUAAAAUGUUCCACGUGUGGGAUUUUGUAUGUACCAUAUGAAUAAGGAUCGGCUAACUCCGUGCCAGCAGCCGCGGUAAUACGGAGGAUCCGAGCGUUAUCCGGAUUUAUUGGGUUUAAAGGGAGCGUAGGUGGAUUGUUAAGUCAGUUGUGAAAGUUUGCGGCUCAACCGUAAAAUUGCAGUUGAAACUGGCAGUCUUGAGUACAGUAGAGGUGGGCGGAAUUCGUGGUGUAGCGGUGAAAUGCUUAGAUAUCACGAAGAACUCCGAUUGCGAAGGCAGUUCACUGGACUGCAACUGACACUGAGGCUCGAAAGUGUGGGUAUCAAACAGGAUUAGAUACCCGUGUAGUC
rnacentral:rRNA from 1 species